UGGGGAAUUUUGGACAAUGGGCGAAAGCCUGAUCCAGCAAUGCCGCGUGUGUGAAGAAGGCCUUCGGGUUGUAAAGCACUUUUGUCCGGAAAGAAAUCCUUGGCUCUAAUACAGUCGGGGGAUGACGGUACCGGAAGAAUAAGCACCGGCUAACUACGUGCCAGCAGCCGCGGUAAUACGUAGGGUGCAAGCGUUAAUCGGAAUUACUGGGCGUAAAGCGUGCGCAGGCGGUUUGCUAAGACCGAUGUGAAAUCCCCGGGCUCAACCUGGGAACUGCAUUGGUGACUGGCAGGCUAGAGUAUGGCAGAGGGGGGUAGAAUUCCACGUGUAGCAGUGAAAUGCGUAGAGAUGUGGAGGAAUACCGAUGGCGAAGGCAGCCCCCUGGCAAGUACUGACGCUCAUGCACGAAAGCGUGGGGGAGCAAACAGGAUUAGAUACCCCUGGUAGUCCACGCCCUAAACGAUGUCAACUAGUUGUUGGGGGAUUCAUUUCCUUAGUAACGUAGCUAACGCGUGAAGUUGACCGCCUGGGGAGUACGGUCGCAAGAUUAAAACUCAAA
rnacentral:rRNA from 1 species